rnacentral:rRNA from 1 species
CAGCAGCCGCGGUAAUACGUAGGUGGCAAGCGUUGUCCGGAAUUAUUGGGCGUAAAGCGCGCGCAGGCGGAUCGGUCAGUCUGUCUUAAAAGUUCGGGGCUUAACCCCGUGAUGGGAUGGAAACUGCCAAUCUAGAGUAUCGGAGAGGAAAGUGGAAUUCCUAGUGUAGCGGUGAAAUGCGUAGAUAUUAGGAAGAACACCAGUGGCGAAGGCGACUUUCUGGACGAAAACUGACGCUGAGGCGCGAAAGCCAGGGGAGCGAACGGGAUUAGAUACCCCAGUAGUCCCUGUCUCUUAUACA